rnacentral:miRNA from 1 species
UGGUGCAAAAGUAAUUGCGGUUUUUGCCAUUGAACGUAAUGGCAACACAGCCAUUACAUUUGCAC